rnacentral:rRNA from 1 species
CGCGGCCUAUCAGCUUGUUGGUGGGGUAACGGCCCACCAAGGCAUCGACGGGUAGCUGGUCUGAGAGGACGAUCAGCCACACUGGGACUGAGACACGGCCCAGACUCCUACGGGAGGCAGCAGUGGGGAAUAUUGCGCAAUGGGCGAAAGCCUGACGCAGCAACGCCGCGUGGGGGAUGACGGCCUUCGGGUUGUAAACCCCUUUCAGCAGGGGCGAAAAUGACGGUACCUGCAGAAGAAGCCCCGGCCAACUACGUGCCAGCAGCCGCGGUAACACGUAGGGGGCGAGCGUUGUCCGGAUUUAUUGGGCGUAAAGAGCUCGUAGGCAGUUGCGUAAGUCGGAUGUGAAAACUCAGGGCUCAACCCGGAGACGCCAUCCGAUACUGCGCUGACUAGAGUCCGGUAGGGGAGCAUGGAAUUCCUGGUGUAGCGGUGAAAUGCGCAGAUAUCAGGAGGAACACCAGCGGCGAAGGCGGUGCUCUGGGCCGGAACUGACGCUGAGGAGCGAAAGCGUGGGUAGCAAACAGGAUUAGAUACCCUGGUAGUCCACGCCGUAAACGUUGGGCACUAGGUGUGGGGCCUACUUAACGGGUUCCGUGCCGUAGCUAACGCAUUAAGUGCCCCGCCUGGGGAGUACGG